GCAAAGGCUCUUUUGAGAGCCACCAUAUUUAUUAAAAGCAACUAAUU
rfam:Salmo salar isolate Sally breed double haploid chromosome ssa19, whole genome shotgun sequence.